GACGAACGCUGGCGGCGUGCCUAAUACAUGCAAGUCGAGCGGACGGAUGGGAGCUUGCUCCCAGACCGUCAGCGGCGGACGGGUGAGUAACACGUGGGCAACCUGCCUGUAAGACUGGGAUAACUCCGGGAAACCGGGGCUAAUACCGGAUAACUCUUUCCCUCACAUGAGGGAAAGCUGAAAGAUGGCAUCUCGCUAUCACUUACAGAUGGGCCCGCGGCGCAUUAGCUAGUUGGUGAGGUAACGGCUCACCAAGGCGACGAUGCGUAGCCGACCUGAGAGGGUGAUCGGCCACACUGGGACUGAGACACGGCCCAGACUCCUACGGGAGGCAGCAGUAGGGAAUCUUCCGCAAUGGACGAAAGUCUGACGGAGCAACGCCGCGUGAGUGAUGAGGGUGUUCGGAUCGUAAAACUCUGUUGUCAGGGAAGAACAAGUACCGGAGUAACUGCCGGUACCUUGACGGUACCUGACCAGAAAGCCACGGCUAACUACGUG
rnacentral:rRNA from 1 species